GCAGUGAGAAUCCAAGCAUCAUGUUCAACACACCGCGUGAUUUUUUUAACCCAGAUUUGCUAGCAAUAUGGGAAUUUGGGGAUGUUAAAAAACUCUUUAAGGAGUGGUGUGCCCCACAAAACCACGCUUCCUGGAUACAGCUCACCCCAUCACACCUGUGCUGACAAUGCCAGACUCCCUGGAUGCAGCUCACCCCAUCAUACCUGUGCUCACAAAACCAGGCUCCCUGGAUGCAGCUCACCCCAUCACCCCGGUGCUCACAAAACCAGGCUCCCUGGAUGCAGCUCACCCCAUCACCCCGGUGCUCACAAAACCAGGCUCCCUGGAUGCAGCUCACCCCAUCACCCCAGUACUCACAAUGGAGGCAAUGCCUAGUGCCCUGGGAGGAGGCCGCAGCGAGUGUGUGCCGGCACCCUCAUGUCAUCAGGUAUGGGACAUUACAAGUCAUGCUAAUCUUGGAUUCAGACCUAUUUGUCAACUAAGUGUUAGAAAAUGUCUGCUUAAAAAACUGAAGAGGACAUGCUCAUAGAUGUUGUUUUCUACGCCCUUUUUCAAGUCACUAAAGAAUCGUCCCCUAAUUGAUAACUUGGUUCAACUGUGGCUGAUUAGAUGCAGUUUAACUGCAAUAGUUGACUUUGUGUUUUUAGAAGGUCUAUCCCUACUCACUGCUGAGCUUUUGCAAUCUGGAUCCUACAGCCAUCAAUACCCCAAAGCAUGUCUUUCCCAGGUCAUUAACCAAAACGUAGGAUUCCACCAUUCCACACGGUGGGCCCUGCACCUUCUAUGGAUAUUUCCUCCCAUCCCGUAUCUUUGGCUACAAUGUCCACGCAGAUGAUUUUGAAAUCACAAAGUCUGGCCUGAACCCCUCCAAGUUAUAGAUUUGUCUGCUGAGAGGUCUCCGCUUCAGUCACUCUUGACUCCCGGAAUCCCAGCUCUGAGUCUGGCCUUGGUGUCCCAUGAAUGGAUGGCACUAUGGUUUUCCCAGUCACUGAAGCCAAAAGUUCCACAAAUCCACCUUUGAACAGUUGCCAAGUCCUAGAGGUUGCAGACAGACAUCUCCCCUUAGCAGCUCCAUGGUUCUGCAUGCCUCACUCCCAGCCCCUCCCUCACGCCUCUUUCUUACCACAGCUGUGAUGUGUAACACAGAAUAGCAAACCCAAGGAAACCGCAAACUUCCUCCCAAAGGACUGAGUGUCCAAGACUGCAAAUGUUUCCCUUCUUUCACUUAGGCAGGCCACGUGACAAAACUGUNNNNNNNNNNUCAGAGGGCAGUUCUCAUUUCAAAGUAGGAUCACACUUUACCUGAUAAUGAGAAAUUACUCCAUCAUUACAGGGCAGGUGCAAAACCUGCCCACACGGUGAUAAUCAGC
rnacentral:lncRNA from 1 species